ACGAACGCUGGCGGCGUGCUUAACACAUGCAAGUCGAACGGAAAGGCCCUGCUUUUGUGGGGUGCUCGAGUGGCGAACGGGUGAGUAACACGUGAGUAACCUGCCCUUGACUUUGGGAUAACUUCAGGGAACUGGGGCUAAUACCGGAUAGGAGCUCCUGCUGCAUGGUGGGGGUUGGAAAGUUUCGGCGGUUGGGGAUGGACUCGCGGCUUAGCAGCUUGUUGGUGGGGUGGUGGCUUACCAAGGCUUUGACGGGUAGCCGGCAUGAGAGGGUGACCGGCCACAUUGGAACUAAGAGACGGCCCAGACUCCUACGGGAGGCAGCGGUGGGGAAUAUUCCACAAUGGGCGGAAGCCUGAUGCAGCAACGCCGCGUGCGGGAUGACGGCCUUCGGGUUGUAAACCGCUUUCGCCUGUGACGAAGCGUGAUUGACGGUAAUGGGUAAAGAAGCACCGGCUAACUACGUG
rnacentral:rRNA from 1 species